rnacentral:rRNA from 1 species
GAUGAACGCUGGCGGCGUGCCUAAUACAUGCAAGUCGAGCGAACAGACGAGGAGCUUGCUCCUCUGACGUUAGCGGCGGACGGGUGAGUAACACGUGGAUAACCUACCUAUAAGACUGGGAUAACUUCGGGAAACCGGAGCUAAUACCGGAUAAUAUAUUGAACCGCAGGGUUCAAUAGUGAAAGACGGUUUUGCUGGCACUUAUAGAUGGAUCCGCGCCGCAUUAGCUAGUUGGUAAGGUAACGGCUUACCAAGGCAACGAUGCGUAGCCGACCUGAGAGGGUGAUCGGCCACACUGGAACUGAGACACGGUCCAGGCUCCUGCGGGAGGCAGCAGUAGGGAAUCUUCCGCAAUGGGCGAAAACUUGACGGAGCAACGCCGCGUGAGUGAUGAAGGUCUUCGGAUCGUAAAACUCUGUUAUUAGGGAAGAACAAAUGUGUAAGUAACUAUGCACGUCUUGACGGUACCUAAUCAGAAAGCCACGGCUAACUACGUG